UACGAAGGGGGCUAGCGUUGUUCGGAAUUACUGGGCGUAAAGCGCACGUAGGCGGAUUUGUUAGUCAGGGGUGAAAUCCCGGGGCCCAACCUCGGAACUGCCUUUGAUACUGCAAGUCUAGAGUCCGGAAGAGGUGAGUGGAAUUCCUAGUGUAGAGGUGAAAUUCGUAGAUAUUAGGAAGAACACCAGUGGCGAAGGCGGCUCACUGGUCCGGUACUGACGCUGAGGUGCGAAAGAGUGGGGAGCAAACAGG
rnacentral:rRNA from 1 species